GUCCAGACUCCUACGGGAGGCAGCAGUGGGGAAUAUUGCACAAUGGGGGAAACCCUGAUGCAGCGACGCCGCGUGAGCGAUGAAGUAUUUCGGUAUGUAAAGCUCUAUCAGCAGGGAAGAAGAUGACGGUACCUGACUAAGAAGCCCCGGCUAACUACGUGCCAGCAGCCGCGGUAAUACGUAGGGGGCAAGCGUUAUCCGGAUUUACUGGGUGUAAAGGGAGCGUAGACGGCAGUGCAAGUCCGGAGUGAAAGCCCGGGGCUCAACCCUGGGACUGCUCUGGAAACUGUAAAGCUGGAGUGCGGGAGGGGCAGGCGGAAUUCCUGGUGUAGCGGUGAAAUGCGUAGAUAUCAGGAGGAACACCGGCGGCGAAGGCGGCCUGCUGGACCGUAACUGACGUUGAGGCUCGAAAGCGUGGGGAGCAAACAGGAUUAGAUACCCGAGUA
rnacentral:rRNA from 1 species